GGACUCUGUGCGCGUGCAUAUCAAUAAGCGGAGGAAAAGAAACUAACAAGGAUUCCCUUAGUAACGGCGAGUGAAGCGGGAAGAGCUCAAAUUUGAAAUCUUCAAGGUUCUACCUUGACGAAUUGUAGUUUAAAGAAGUGUUUUCUGUUAGAUGAGUAGCAAAAGUUCCUUGGAAUGGGACAUCAUAGAGGGUGAGAAUCCCGUAUUUGGUUAUUCAUUCUAGCUUUGUGAUACACUUUCAAAGAGUCGGAUUGUUUGGGAAUGCAGUCCAAAAUGGGUGGUAAAUUUCAUCUAAAGCUAAAUAUUGGCGAGAGACCGAUAGCGAACAAGUACCGUGAGGGAAAGAUGAAAAGAACUUUGAAAAGAGAGUUAAACAGUACGUGAAAUUGUCAAAAGGGAAGCGUUUGACACCAGUGUUGUUUUUUCCGAAAAUCAAUUACGAAUGGCUUGAUUUUGUGUUGUAUUGACCUUAUCAGCUUUCUUCACUUUUUUCGAGUCUUUCUUAAUGCACUUUUCGGUUAACAAGUCAACAUCAAUUUCUUUUGUUGUAAAAGAGUACUCGGAAGGUGGCUUUCUUUUCGGAGAAAGUGUUUAUAGCCCUAUACUUCUACAAUCGGAGAGAUUGAGGUCUGCAGCGUAGAUCCUUCGGGGUUAGAUACACUUGUGCUAAGUUGUAGCUUUUCAUAGACAACUUGUUGACUAUGUUUAGUCAUGCGGCUUACUCGCUUGUGCUAUUUUACCUACGCUUAGGAUGUUGAAUCUGUGCGAGACUAC
rnacentral:rRNA from 1 species